UGAGGAUGUGGGUUUGAUCCCUGGCUUCCCUCAGUGGGUUAAGGAUCUGGCAUGACGCAAGCUGCAGUGUAUGUCAUAGAUGUGGCUUGGAUCUGGCAUUGCAGUGGCUGUGUUGCAGGCCGGCAGCUGCAGCUCCAAUCUGACCCCUAGUUUGGGAACUUCCAUGUGCAGCAGGUGUCUUCCUAAAUGAAAACAAACAAACAAACAAAAAAUCCCACUGUGCACUGUGGUACCAGUGUUUGUUUGUUUCUUGUUAGGAUGAUAUAAGUGCCAGGGAAUCAGGAACACCACAUUUUUCCUUCAACCUUCCUGCUUCAGGUUGGUGGUGAUUUGAUGUCGUGAAUUCCCCAGCUGCCUCAUUGGUCCCUAUUUGGCUUUUGAGCUCCUUCUUUUCCUCUGAAACCAAUGUUCUACAUUAAAUUCCUUCCACACUGAAUAUUUAGGGUCAUUUUUGUUUUCUUAGCCAUGCUCUAAAUGAUCCGGUCAUUGACAAAAAAAGGAAAGAGUGCUGUUGGGAUCAUCCUUCUAAUCUGCAAAACAAGUGGUUUAGCUGCAAGAUGAACUUCCAUCUUUCAUACUUGAAGGUCCCAUAGAUGGCAUUUCCUAAAGGGUGGUCCAAGGAUCACUGGUGUCAGAAUUUCCUGAGAAGUUUGCUAAAGAGGCAUAUUCUUGGACUCAUUCAUAACCACUAACUCUGGGAUAUGGCUGGAGAAUCUAAAAUUCUAGUCAACUCCCUAUGAGAUUCUUAUAAAAAAUAAAAUUUGAGAUCAAAUGUCUACCAUCUUUGAUCUUCUUGGGAAUGUUUUGCAGAGAAGUGAUACCAUGUGCAUAUCAAGAGAUUCUGAAAGAUUUUAAUUUACUCUAUUUCAAGAGAUGCCAUCUGUCAAAUUAAGUGAUUUACGUGAAUUUAGUUAGUAUUUAAAAUGCACAUUCUAUAUAUCUUUCAGAAGUAAACUAAGUCUUAAGCAGGGGUAAAUGUAUUUCACACACUGCUAAGGAGUUUUACAAUCCACAAAGUAAGAAUACAUGAAAUAUAAAACUGUAUGUGGACUAAAAUUUUAUGCCUUUUUUGCUAGACUAGUGAUUGCCUAAUCUAAUUUUAUCGUAUUCCAAGGAAAAUUAAUUUAUGUAAGGGAUCAAGUAUUUUGAAUAGAUUUCCAAUAAAAAUAAAUUUUUUAUAUGGGUACUUAAAUUAUGCACCAUCCAACACUUUCAAGAGAAACUAAAAAGACAGUUUGCUUCAUUUACAAAAUGUGGUAAUAAGUGUUCUUAGCUUUGGUUCUCCUAAAGAGCAAAGCUUGAGGCAAGUGCUUAGGUGUCAGUUUUGGGAAGUGAACUCAGAGAGAAAGGGAGAGGGAACCGGGAAGAGAAGAGCCAACCCAAGAGGAUGCUGUCAACUGAUUGCGACCAAGAAUAGCAGGGAGGGAUCCCAGCAGGGAUACUUUGAUGAGACAAACAGAAUACAUGUAUAUCAAAAUUGCUCUCCAUUGGACAGAGGAGGAGACCAUUUAUCCACCAGGUCUUAUCCUUCCUUGGUCAAGGGUUCCCUAAUGGUCUGUUCGCUCCUCACACUUCUAGGCACGUGCACAGGUCAGAAUGACUACUUGGGUCUCUGUACCAAUGUUACUUGGUGGUUAGGUAACUCUGGGGCAAGCUGCUGGAAAUGUACACCUGCCCACAGCUGUUGCCAUAUUAACGACUUCUGUGAAAAUGUGGGCGAAUUAUGGCACAUAGCCCAAGAAGGAUGUAUUCAUUUUCAGAUAUUUAAUAAUCAAAAUGAUUCCUCAAACAAACAAGCAUUUUUUUUUCAAAUACAUGAAUUGUAAAUAUUUUAUCUUCAGAGAUGGUUUUGGUAUUUUUAGUCUAGAUUAUGUUUAUGCCCAAUUUCUUUGCCUCCUGGCCUGAUGGGAAACAUUUGUCCCUUUGUAGUUAACAUGCAAAACUUGGAAAGUACCCAUGAAAUAAAAGCAGGUUAAAAUAAAUUCCCUAUGAGCUAUGUCUUGAAAUUGUUUAUUUGGGAACUGGAGAGUCUUGUUGGACACUGAGCAGAUUAUGGUGUUGCCACCAAAAGGACUUCUAAGCAUAGGUGGCUUUUAAAUCAUUUUGAUAGUAACGUAAGCUGUGGCAUGCUGGAACCAUUUGAAAAAGUGCAUGCUUAUUUAGAAUAAGCACAAUGAGUCAUUUUUUCUUCUCCGGAUGGUCUCAAAGUCCUCCACGUCAUUUUCUACCCCAAUUCUCCCUCUGAGUUUCUCACUGCUCACUAAACUCUCUCCCUAUUUUCUGUAUAUUUUGUUAAACAGGAAAGGAAGGAAAGAAUAUUCUCUACCUUUUAUUUCUGCUGGUGUAGAUUCAUUUUUAUUUACCUGUAUCUAACUCUGCUUUCUUCCAGAAACAAUUUAGACUCUCAGUGCUAGUUUAUAACCUGGGUCUAGUAUGAACAUAGACCCCUGAUUUUGUCAGUCUAGGGUUUGACUCCUGAUUCCACCAUUUAUAAACUGUGUGAAUUUGAAAUGUCCCUUAGCUUAUUUGAACCUUAUGUUCCCUUUUGGGAAAUGAGGUUAAUCCUAUCUUUCUUAGAAAAUUAUUUGAAACAUAAAUGAGGUAAUAGAUGGAAAGACUAGCAUAGGGUCUGACAUUUUCGAUAAAUGGUAAGUAUCAUCAUUAUUUAGUGCUGUCCCUAAUUUGUGUUUUUCAUCAACAUCCUUAGAUGUCCUCUAUGAGUUUAGUAAUAACUAUAUGGACAGGAUCUUCUGGUAACAAGAACUUGAAAUUAAACUGAUGCUCUUUGACCCAGAGUGCUAAUGAACUAAAUCAGUGGAGAAAGGCAAAUGGAAACAAGACGGAACAAAUCUUGUUUAACAACAAAUCUGGCUAGCAGAAAGAAGAAUGGUUCUCAGAAGAAGCCUCAAAGCAAAACCUCUAGACCUCUGACCCAACUGGGAAAAGGUAAUUGAGAGCUGACUUUCUUUGGAUGAGAACUUCCAAAGUGAAUAGCUUUUAUUGAACCUAUCAAAGUCAGAAAUAGUAAUAAGUUUUGUGGCUAUAUUUGCAAUAAUGUAAAAAGAAUGUAAACUUCCUAUCUGCACAAUGAAGAAAUGGUUCUUGGCCUUAUUUUGUGCUCUUCAAUCUCAUGCAAAGUGAGGUCAGUACCACAGUACAACAUUUUAGUCAAGUUGGUGGUUCAUGUGGGCAACGUGAAGGCAAAAACAGUAAGAAAAUGAAGUUGUGUUCUGAGAUCUAAACGAUGAACUACACUGGAGUGUAUGUAUGAGCCAUACAUGUGAGUGAACCAGAAACAUGUAUACAAAAGUGGGGAGGAAGAGUUUGGGAACUUCUCAAAUGCUUAUUAAUGUAUGUUGUUUGUAACAUCAGAAAGACAGGACAACACUAAGAUUGGAGUAAGGUGAGCAGGAUCCUAAUCAACAGCUUUCAAUUCUAUUUGGAGAGACUACGAGAUUCAAAAAGAAUGGUCAGCUUGAAACAUGGGAAAGAGAGGUCAGGGACCCAGAAUUUUACAAGGUUUGUCUAGAGAGAUCCCAAAAGAGAAAGCCACUAGGUGUGAUAAGCAAGAGUCCUGUCACCAGAAAGAUGUUUUCCUCUGAGGAGGGGUGCUUACCUGAUUUCAGUUACACAAUAAUAUCACAGAAAUCUCAGCACAGUUUUUUGAAAUUGAAUUGCUUGCAUAUCCAGAGUUAUGGUUAAGUUUGGGAGCUGACCAUCCCAAAGUAGGAAAUGAAGUCUUGAAGUUAUUUAUAUUUUGUGGAGCUGUCUUAGCAGAGCAUGAACACUCUGCGUUACUAAACUCAAAAUAUUGAUAUAUCUGUGUUCCAUCUGCUUGGAAUGCACAUCUCCAGAUGUGCAUCUUUUCCUUCCUUAGGAAGGAUGGACCCAUCUUAUUCUUCCUUAGGAAGCAUUUUCUAACAGCUUCUCUGAAGUCAUGUCACCUCCUUGACACAGCCAGCCCUCCUCCCACCCAAUGACCUGAACUCACUGAGUGCCUAGUGUGAAUCUCUGUUUAGCAGGUUCACUAUCUGAUAUGACCUUAUUACUUAUCUAUUUUUGCUUGUAUAUUAUAAGUCUCUGCACAAAAAUGUGAAGUCUCUGAAUAUGAAGGAUAUGCCUAUCUUAUUUAACAAUAAGUCCUCAGGAGUCAGAAUAGUAACUAAUGUUUAGUAGAUGACCAAUCACAAAUGUGUGUUGAAUAAAUGAAUUAGUGAAUGAGUCAAUAUAAUAAUGAACUAGAUUUGUGGUUGCAUUUUUCUGCUGUUAACUCAACACCAGUGCAUUAGUUUUAGCAAAUCAAGAUCUUUAAUAUCCAGUUAUUAUUGUUGGUUUCCAAAAUCUUUUUGUGUAUUUAUGGUAAAUCUCUGGUUUUUAAAGUUUUAUUUUUUCUGCUUAUCACAAUAUAUUAUCCUAAAAUAGCAGACUUAAGAAUACAUAUGAAUGCUUUUCUUUAAAGGGUGUAAUCACAUUAUUCAACCUUAUGUACUCGCAGACAAAAAAAAAUAUUUUGUAUGUUAUAUAUAUUUCAGAAAGCUACGGAUAAAACCAAGGACUCGGGGUAAAGGAAUGGAAUGAAUUUGAUAACGUUUCACAAAUCAGCACGUGCUAGGUGAUUUGAGGGGUUGAGGGCACCAGUGUUGUUCUGUUCUUUACUAACCUGGAUGAUUUGAAGGAGAGCUUGGAACUGUGCAGGGUCUAAACAGCAUCUGUGAAACAGCCAGCCAAUCAUUUGCUAUGUACCAGGUAAUG
rnacentral:lncRNA from 1 species